rnacentral:rRNA from 1 species
UGAAUACGAGAUGCUACGGCGUCGAAGCAGUGUAUGUCAGACUUCCAAGAAAAGCUCGCAAUGUCAUAAAUAAAGAAUGCCUGUACCAUAACCGACACAGGUGGGUAGGUAGAGUAUACUAAGGGGCGCGAGAUAACUCUCUCUAAGGAACUCGGCAAAAUAACUCCGUAACUUCGGGAGAAGGAGUGCCUUCUUUAAGAAGGUUGCAAUAACAAGAUCCAAGCAACUGUUUAUCAAAAACACAGGUCUCCGCUAAGUCGUAAGACGAUGUAUGGGGGCUGACGCCUGCCCAGUGCCAGAAGGUUAAAGAAGCUGGUUAGCAAUAGCGAAGCUGGUGACUGAAGCCCUGGUGAACGGCGGCCGUAACUAUAACGGUCCUAAGGUAGCGAAAUUCCUUGUCGGGUAAGUUCCGACCCGCACGAAAGGCGUAAUGAUUUGGAUACUGUCUCGGAGAGGGACUCGGUGAAAUAGACUUGUCUGUGAAGAUGCGGACUACCUGCACCAGGACAGAAAGACCCUAUGAAGCUUUACUGUAACCUGAAAUUGAAAUUGGACUUUAUUUGCGCAGUAUAGGUGGGAGGCGUUGAAAGUAAUCUUGCGGGAUUAGUGGAGCCAUCAGUGAGAUACCACUCCUAUAAUGUUAGAUUUCUAACUUUGGAUCAUGAUCUGGUCAAAGAACAGUUUCAGGCGGGCAGUUUGACUGGGGCGGUCGCCUCCCAAAUGGUAACGGAGGCGUACAAAGGUUUCCUCUGAACGGGUAGAAAUCGUAUCUAGAGUGUAAAGGCAUAAGGAAGCUUGACUGUGAGACCUACAAGUCGAGCAGGGACGAAAGUCGGUCUUAGUGAUCUGACGGUGCUGAGUGGAAAGGCCGUCACUCAACGGAUAAAAGUUACUCUAAGGAUAACAGGCUGAUCUCCCCCAAGAGUUCACAUCGACGGGGAGGUUUGGCACCUCGAUGUCGGCUCAUCGCAUCCUGGGGCGGUAGUACGUCCCAAGGGUUGGGCUGUUCGCCCAUGAAAGCGGUACGCGAGCUGGGUUCAGAACGUCGUGAGACAGUUCGGUCCAUAUCCGGUGUAGGCGUUAGAAUAUUGAGAGGAGCCUUCUCUAGUACGAGAGGACCGAGAAGGACAUACCUCUGGUGUACCAGUUAUCGUGCCAACGGUAAACGCUGGGUAGCUAUGUAUGGAGAGGAUAACCGCUGAAAGCAUCUAAGUGGGAAGCCCACCUCAAGAUGAGUAUUCUCAU